rnacentral:rRNA from 1 species
AUUGAACGCUGGCGGCAUGCCUUACACAUGCAAGUCGAACGGGAACGGGCCUUCGGGUGCCGACGAGUGGCGAACGGGUGAGUAAUACAUCGGAACGUGCCCGAUCGUGGGGGAUAACGAGGCGAAAGCUUUGCUAAUACCGCAUACGAUCUACGGAUGAAAGCAGGGGGCCGCAAGGCCUUGCGCGGGCGGGGCGGCCGGUGGCAGAUUAGGUAGUUGGUGGGAUAAAAGCUUACCAAGCCGACGAUCUGUAGCUGGUCUGAGAGGAUGAUCAGCCACACUGGGACUGAGACACGGCCCAGACUCCUACGGGAGGCAGCAGUGGGGAAUUUUGGACAAUGGGCGCAAGCCUGAUCCAGCCAUGCCGCGUGCAGGAUGAAGGCCUUCGGGUUGUAAACUGCUUUUGUACGGAACGAAAAGCCUUCUUUUAAUACAGGAGGGUCAUGACGGUACCGUAAGAAUAAGCACCGGCUAACUACGUG